rnacentral:rRNA from 1 species
AACCGACACAGGUGGUCAGGUAGAGAAUACCAAGGCGCUUGAGAGAACUCUGCUGAAGGAACUAGGCAAAAUGGUACCGUAACUUCGGGAGAAGGUACGCUGCCGAUGGUGAGUAGUCACGCACUACAAAGCUAUUGGCAGUCGCAGAUACCAGGCCGCUGCAACUGUUUAUUAAAAACACAGCACUCUGCAAACACGAAAGUGGAC